rnacentral:rRNA from 1 species
CCUACGGGAGGCAGCAGUGAGGAAUAUUGGACAAUGGGCGCAAGCCUGAUCCAACCAUGCCGCGUGCAGGAAGACGGUCCUAUGGAUUGUAAACUGCUUUUAUACAGGAAGAAACACCUCUACGUGUAGAGACUUGACGGUACUGUAUGAAUAAGCAUCGGCUAACUCCGUGCCAGCAGCCGCGGUAAUACGGAGGAUGCAAGCGUUAUCCGGAAUCAUUGGGUUUAAAGGGUCCGUAGGCGGUUUAAUAAGUCAGUGGUGAAAGCCCAUCGCUCAACGAUGGAACGGCCAUUGAUACUGUUAAACUUGAAUUAUUAGGAAGUAACUAGAAUAUGUAGUGUAGCGGUGAAAUGCUUAGAGAUUACAUGGAAUACCAAUUGCGAAGGCAGGUUACUACUAAUAUAUUGACGCUGAUGGACGAAAGCGUGGGGAGCGAACAGGAUUAGAUACCCUGGUAGUCCACGCCGUAAACGAUGGAUACUAGCUGUUCGGAACAAUCUGAGUGGCUAAGCGAAAGUGAUAAGUAUCCCACCUGGGGAGUACGUUCGCAAGAAUGAAACUCAAAUGAAUUGACGG